rnacentral:rRNA from 1 species
GAUGAACGCUGGCGGCGUGCUUAACACAUGCAAGUCGAACGGAAAGGCCUCAGCUUGCUGGGGUACUCGAGUGGCGAACGGGUGAGUAACACGUGGGUGAUCUGCCCUGCACUUUGGGAUAAGCUUGGGAAACUGGGUCUAAUACCGAAUAUGACCACUUCUUGGAUGUUGUGGUGGAAAGCUUUUGCGGUGUGGGAUGAGCCUGCGGCCUAUCAGCUUGUUGGUGGGGUAAUGGCCUACCACGGCGGCGACGGGUAUCCGGCCUGAGAGGGUGUACGGACACAUUGGGACUGGGAUACGGCCCAGACUCCUACGGGAGGCAGCAGUGGGGAAUAUUGCACAAUGGGCGCAAGCCUGAUGCAGCGACGCCGCGUGGGGGAUGAAGGCCUUCGGGUUGUAAACUCCUUUCGCUAUCGACGAAGCCACUUGUGGUGACGGUAGGUAGAUAAGAAGCACCGGCUAACUACGUGCCAGCCGCCGCCGUAA